rnacentral:misc_RNA from 1 species
UUGUGGAGGAGGACGCCGAAGGUGGGGCUAAUGACUGGGGUGAAGUCGUAACAAGGUAGCCGUACCGGAAGGUGCGGCUGGAUCACCUCCUAACAGGGAGACAACAAAAUGUUUAAUAUUAUUAUUUUGUCACCUUAGGUCGAUCGGUAUCUCACGUUCUUAAUUUAUUAAGAAUUUCAUUUCCUAAGUUUUUCUAGGUCACACCCAUUAUUUUCCUGGGCCAUUAGCUCAGGUGGUUAGAGCGCACCCCUGAUAAGGGUGAGGUCCCUGGUUCAAGUCCAGGAUGGCCCAUAUCUCUAUGUUGGGGGUAUAGCUCAGUUGGUAGAGCGCCUGCUUUGCAAGCAGGAUGUCAGCGGUUCGAGUCCGCUUACCUCCACUGAUUACCACCUCUUCCAUAAUCUGUAGAAAGGAAAAUUUUUGAGUUGUGAUCAUUAUUCUGAAAGAAUCUAGCUUCCUAAUGAAACCAUUAAGAUGCUGGACUCAUUGAAUUAAUUUCAUUGUUUUCAGAGAACCUUGACAACUGCAUAGAUUAUUUUUAAAGACAAUAAGCAUUUUUAAUGAUGCAGAUUUAUUAUUUGUGCAAAUGCAUUAAUAACAAUUCUAUUAAGCUGAUGCUUCAAUUAUGAAGUUAUUGGUCAAGCUACAA